rnacentral:rRNA from 1 species
CGAAGCGUGCGAUUGGAUUGCACGUCUAAGCAGUAAGGCUGAGUAUUAGGCAAAUCCGGUACUCGUUAAGGCUGAGCUGUGAUGGGGAGAAGACAUUGUGUCUUCGAGUCGUUGAUUUCACACUGCCGAGAAAAGCCUCUAGAUAGAAAAUAGGUGCCCGUACCGCAAACCGACACAGGUAGUCAAGAUGAGAAUUCUAAGGUGAGCGAGCGAACUCUCGUUAAGGAACUCGGCAAAAUGACCCCGUAACUUCGGGAGAAGGGGUGCUCUUUAGGGUUAACGCCCAGAAGAGCCGCAGUGAAUAGGCCCAAGCGACUGUUUAUCAAAAACACAGGUCUCUGCUAAACCGUAAGGUGAUGUAUAGGGGCUGACGCCUGCCCGGUGCUGGAAGGUUAAGAGGAGUGGUUAGCUUCUGCGAAGCUACGAAUCGAAGCCCCAGUAAACGGCGGCCGUAACUAUAACGGUCCUAAGGUAGCGAAAUUCCUUGUCGGGUAAGUUCCGACCCGCACGAAAGGCGUAACGAUUUGGGCACUGUCUCAACGAGAGACUCGGUGAAAUCAUAGUACCUGUGAAGAUGCAGGUUACCCGCGACAGGACGGAAAGACCCCGUGGAGCUUUACUGUAGCCUGAUAUUGAAAUUCGGCACAGCUUGUACAGGAUAGGUAGGAGCCUUUGAAACGUGAGCGCUAGCUUACGUGGAGGCGCUGGUGG